rnacentral:lncRNA from 1 species
UCAGAAUCAUUGUUAGGGUAUUGUAGUACCCCCACAGUAGAAAUAUUAUGUAAGAUUGUAUCCAUAUUACAACCCAUAAAAGUUCUAACCAAUUCAGUUCGUAGGAUGUCUGCCCAAAAUAUAUCAUUGACAAACAUCAGCGAAACUGAUAAUAUCCUAGACUUGUUCAAAAAAACUUCAUUUGCUGCUUCUUUGGCCAAUGCAUUAGCUACCCUGUUCUGCUUCUGAUAGGUGUGCUUCACUACCACCCUGUCCAUCGUGCAUAUUAAUUACCUGCAUUCAGAAAUUAAGGGGUCAUAAAUAAGACUUUAUUUCAUUAACAUAUUGAUAAUUUCAGAAGAGUCAGUAUUGAUCUCAAGAGGAACCAUGUUAUUUUGUUUCGCGAGUUGUAGUCCCUUUAGAAGUGCCUUCAAUUCUGCCAUAGUGUUUGUUGUGUGGGGGAUGUUAUCCAUAUACCCAAUUAUCUAGUCUCCGUUGUGAUUUCUAAAUACGCAUCCUGAUCCUCAUAUCCCUGGAUUCUCUUUUGUUGCUCUAUCCGUGUUCAGCUUAUAGAAGCCUCUUCUUGGUGGCUCCCAUUUUGUUAUGAUUUGAUGUGUUAUUUUGUUGGAGCCAUUUUUUGUUAGCACAAAGUAUUCAGUAGCUUUGGAGAUUGUGUUUGAAGAGUUUAUGUGCUCCUUUUUGUCAUUGAAUAAAUUUUUGUUUUUUGUUAGCCAGAUGUGCCGGAAACAGAAGGGAAUGAUGUUGUCCCAUAUGAUAUUGCAAUUGAAAGGCAAAUUCCUGAUUGAAUUCCAUGUUGAUGGCCACUGAUGGUCAUUGAAGCCUGGACUUUGCUGUCUAUUAUCACGUAUAGAUUUGGACAGUAUUUCAUUUCAGAAGUGGACAACAUUAGGGCACUAAAAGAAGAUAUGGUCAAUAGUUUCUUGGCCACUGUUGCAGUAAGAACAUUGGGGAUCACAGUUGAUCCCUAUUCUAUGGAGGUAACUCUUAGUGGGAAGUCUCUUAUGGGUGAGGAGCUAGAUGAAAUUCUUAAUUUUGUUGAGAGUUUGUAGUUUCCAAACUCAUUUGAAGGAACCUUCCUCAUUAGUAUGAAGACUGGUGUCACUCUUGCUUAGGAAAGAGUAUGCAGAACUAUUUGUGAAGUGGCCAGUCGGGUUAAGUUCCAUAUGAGGGUGUCUUCCUUUUUUGGAGUUGGGGAAAUAAAAAUUGAGUUUAACAGAUUCAGGAUACUUGGGGGGAGAGCAAUAGACAGUGAGGAUGUGUCCCAAGUCCCUAGAUUGUAGAUUGAGUUAACCUUAGCAUUGAGGUUGUUUUGGGUUAAAGGGCCCUCAAUAAAAUCUCUAAUUGCUAGCUGAUUGGGAAUCCAUACAUCAUUUAGGAAGCUGCCCUGUUUCCCUUGUGAACUACCCAUCUGCUUGCUUUGCAGCAAAUAUCCCAACCCCUUAAGAUGCACUACCAGGUGGAUGAUUUUGGAUGCCUAGGAUAUCUAGAGGCUCUAACUAUCCUAGCUUUGUUGGUCAUGUUGCAGUGCUUAUGGAUUAGUACUCUUGCCUAUAGACUGUUGGUAUUUUUGAAAGUCCUCUGGGCAAGAUUUGUGAGAGAGGCUUUGUUCUUAAGAUUAGCCUUUUGGAGUCCUAGUCCUCCAUCAGUCUUUCUCUUAGUGACCACAUCCCACCUGAUUAGGUGGAGCUUCUUCUUUUCAGGAGUGGUGCCCCAAAGAAAGUUCCUUUGGAUUUUGUCAAUCUAUUUGGUAAAUUUAGUGGGCAGGUUGAUGUACUACAUGACAUGACUACGAAUGCUGUUUAAAGAAGUUUUAGCCAACACAGUUCUGCCAGUCAUGUUUAGGCAGCUUGUUUUCCAACCAGCCAGCUUGUAUUGCAUAUUAUCAAUGAUGAAUUGAAAGUCUGCACUGGUUUGAUUUUUAUGAAAAAUGGGGAAACCAAGGUAUUUUCCAAAGGAGGAGGUGGGUUGGAUGAAUAGAGAGUUGGUGAGAUUCUGUAUGGAUUCCUGUGGAGUAUUUGGGGAAAAGAGGAUCCUUGACUUAGCGAGAUUUAUUUUCUGACCUGAUUGUUCAUUGAAGUUCUUCAUAAUGGAAAGGAUAAUGUUAUAGUUCCUGUCAUUUGCUUUAGCAAAGAGGGUUAGGUCAUCUACGAAAAAAGAUGGGAUAUUUUAGGUCCAGAUCUGCUUAUACUUAUGGGUUGCCACUGAUUAUCCAGAACAACCUUGUCAAUUGAUCUUGAUAAUCUUUUCAUACACAUUAUGAAGAGGUAAAGAGACAUUGGGUCUCCUUGCCUGAUGCCUCUUGAAGGUUUGAAGGAUUCAGGUUUUCCACCAUUGACAAGAAUGGAGAUGAAGGAGAAACUGAUGCAGGACAUAAUGAGUUUGGAUAAACCUUGAGGGAAGUUGAAAGUAGAAAGAGUGUCUCUAAUAAAAGACCACUCUAGCCUGUCAAAGGACUUCUCCAGAUCAAUUUUGAGGAUCAUAUUGUCAUGUUUCCCUUUCAUUCUUCUAAAGUAUGUGAUGUACUUUUGGACAAUGAUGACAUUAUCACAAGCUCUCCUAUUGGAUAGGAAACUGGCUUGACUAGGCCCAAUGAUGUGAGGCAAGAUAGGCUUUAUUUUGUACACUAUAAUUUUUGUGAUGGACUUGUAUAUUGUGUUACACAGUCCAAUUGGCCUAAAACUUUUCAACAUUGAAGUUUGGGGGCAUUUUGGGAUGAUGCACAACAGAGUAUGGUUCAUGGUUUCAUCCAUAGAACUUGAAGAAAAACAUUUUUUACAGAACUCUGUGAUAGAGUCACCAACUAUGUCCCAAUAUUUUUGGUAGAAGAAGGGGUGGAGAUCAUCAGGUUCAGGAGAUUUGAAAGGUUUGUAGGAGAAGACUGCCCUUUUUAUCUCACUCAACUCUAGAGGUCUGUCUAAGAAAGCUCUUUGGGCAUCAGACAGAAUGGGAUACAUAGUGUAGUGGUUGGUGAAGGCCCUAUGGGCUUGGGAGUGGGAUGUGGUAUAUAGAUUAGUGAAGAAGCCCAUAAUGGCUGCUUGGAUAUCCUUCUGGUCGUGGAGCCUAGGGCUGGGCAUAUAUCGGGUAAAACCGAUAAUCCCAACCGUUAAUUAUUUAUUGGGUUAUCGGUAUUGGGUUAACGGUUUAGAAUUUUUUCACUAUUGGGUUAUCGGUUAGGGCCUCGAUUUGCCAAUUUUUUUAAUGGGUUAGCCGAUAACCCAAUAAGAAUUAAUAAAAUUACGACUUUACCCUUAAGUAUAUAUAUGCCAGUGCUUCUGUUCAUUAUCUCCUAUUCUUUCUCAGCCGCACUCUUUAUUCGCUUCAUCUUUAUUUUCAUAGAUCUUACUAGUUACUCAUACCGUAAGUCUUUAGUCUUAUACAUUAUGGUUCUAAUUUCUAUAACAAAAUUCAUCUUCAUAUAGGGCUUGCUCUAUGGUUUCUUUUUUCAGGUUAGGCAUUUGACAAACAACAUCCAGUUUAUCUUGGACCGUUUGAGGGCUUCAAUGCUUGUGGAAGUGCAGGUAUUUGUGUGAAAUAAAAAUUCUAAAUCAACUAUUGUUGUUAUCAUAUCGGAGGAGGCAGCUAAUACCUUGGAACAUUUUGUGGAAAUUCUUGCAGUUUGAUAAGUAUUUAUCUACUGAUUUUUUGGUGAAGCCUAUAGAGAUUGUGUAGUUGUUGUCUUGUUAACUUGAAUUUGAACUGUUAGUACUAUAUGUUUGGACUUGUUAAUUUUAAGGUGAAAUUUCUACUACUUUGUACUAUUAUUAAUGUAUUUGGACAAGUGUUGUUGAAGAAUUAUUACUAUUCCAGUUGUGGCCACUGGACAGAAUGCAGAAAUGGGUAGUAUACUAUAUGUGAAUUCUUCUUCUUUUUGCUUAACUCCAGUGAAUUGUCUUCUCUUUUUUGCUUAACUCUAGAUUGAGUUAUCUUAUCGGGUAAACCAAUAACCGAACUGAUAAUAAUCGAUAACCAAUUAAUCAAUACCCGAUAUCUUAUCGGUUUGGUUAUCGAUUUAUCAAAUUUGUAAAUUGAUAACCGAUAUGCUAAACCGAUAAUAUUCAUAACCGAACCGAACCGACCGAUGCCCACCCCUAGUGGAGCCAAUUUCCAUUCUCUUCUUUAAGAGAGAGGAUUCUGUUCCUUCCUCUUAUAUUGAGGGUGGAGGUGUGAAAGAAUCUAGUGCUAACAUCACCCUCGUUAAGCCAAUUAAUCCUUGAUUUAAGCUUCCAGAAAUCCUCUUCAUUUUUGAGGAUUAAGUUAUGCUCUUUAACCAGAUUAGUUUCAAGAUUUAGCAAAUAACUACUGAACUGGUAGUUAGGAGAUCUCUGGAUUCCAGAAAUUCUUGCUAGGAUUCUUCUUUUUUGGUGGAAGAUGUUUCCAAAUAUUUCCCGGUUCCAUUUGGUGACCAUUGUUUUGAAGGAAUCAAUGGAUUGGAAGAGAUUGGAAUGAUCUAAGAAAGCCUUAUAGAUGAUAUUGGGGAAGGAAGGGUGGCUAGCCCACAUUGACUCAAACCUGAAAGGCCUUGUCAGAUUAUUGUUUGGAGACCCUACCAGAUUAAUUUGAAAGGGGUAGUGGUCUGAAUGGGUCCUAGGGAGGUGCACUACAGUUGCCUCAGGGUACUGUUGUAUCCAACUUUCAUUAGCAAAACAUCUAUCUAUUCUUUCUAGAAUAAGCGAGGUUCUAUUACUGUACUUUUUAUUAGACCAGGUGUAUUUACUCCCUUUGUAGCCUAGAUCUAGAAGUUUACACUCAUUUAUACAAUGCCAGAAUAGAUUGUUUCGGUUAAGGGUUAUGGGGUUACUCCCAAAUUUAUCCCUGUCCUUUAAGACUUUAUUGAAGUCUCCUCCCACAAGCCAAUUGGUUGUGAGAUAUUUGGAGAUUGUGAUUAGGUUCUCCCAUAGGAGCUUCAUAUUAGCUAAAAUAUUGCUGGCGUAGAUAGCAGAGAAGAGCCAUGGAGGGUGGUUAGGACUCACCUUUACCAUAUCAUGGAUGACUUUGGGGGUGGUGGCCACCUCUUCGACAGUCACACAAUCUUCAUUCCACAUGAACACUAUUCCCCCAGACUCUACCUACUGUCAGUGACUUGAUGAUUGUAUUUACUAAAAUAUUAGUUUUAUUGAAUUUUGCUAAUUAGUCUCUCUCUCUUCCUUUAUUUUUUUUAUAUAAAUAAAGAUAUCUCCUAAUUAUUUAUUCACUAGUGGGGCUAGCCCGGGCAAAGCCUGGGCCCAACGUGAACAAUAUUAUAUUUUGUUAUAUAUUGUUAUCUUGUCAGACAUUGAGUGGAUAUGUUUU